rnacentral:lncRNA from 1 species
CCAUCACACCAUAUAUAUUUUAACAGUAAAAGCAUUCAUAGAUAUUUAAUUACAACUUAGUAACUCGUGUACAAUAUCAUAUAGAAAUAUUUCAAUAUUGCCAAUAUGUAACUAGCUAGUCUUUGAGAGGAUAAAAUAAGAUGAAAGUUUAUAACUUUUGAAGUAGUAUUGGAUUUCCCGUUGAUUUUGGUUUGGAUAACUAAUUACGGCAUUUCAUAUUUUGACAUUUCUUGUAAUAUUUCCUUGGGCAAUUAUGGAAUCUCGUGUUUGGCCAUUUUAGGUAAUUUUGACUUUGGCAACUCGGACAUCUCAUGUUUGGGCAUUUCAGGGUAUUUUGUCUUGGGUAGCUCCUCAUUUUUGGACAUCUCAUGUUUGGGCAUUUCAGGGUAUUUUGUCUUGGGUAGCUCCUCAUUUUUGGGCAUUUCAGGGUAUUUUGGCUUGGGUAGCUCCUCAUGUCUAGGUAUUUCAGGUAAUUUAGGUUGGGGUAUAAACUCCUCAUGUAUAGGCAUCUUAUGACCUUUUGGCUUCGGUAGCUCCUCAUGUUUGAAUAUUUCAGGGCUUUUUGGCUUUGGUAGAUCCUCAUGUUUAGAGAUUUCUGUGCAUUUUGGUUUGGGCAGCUCCUCGUGUUUGGGCCAUUUCAGACCAUAUUUUUUUGGGAAACUCCUCGUGUUUGGGCAUUUUGGUGCCUUUUGGCUUGGGUAGCUCCUCUUGUUUGGACAUUUUAUGACCCUUUGACUUAGGUAGCUCCUCGUGUUUGGGUAUUUUAGGACUUUUUGGCUUUGGUAGAUCCUCAUGUUUGGAGAUUUCUGGACAUUUUGGCUUGGGUAGCUCCUCAUGUUUGGGCAUUACUUCAGGACCUUUUGGCUUGGGUAGCUCCUCAUGUUUGGGCAUUACUUCAGGACCUUUUGGCUUGGGUAGCUCCUCAUGUCUAGGCAUUUUAUAACCUUUUGGCUUAGCUAGCUCCUCGUGUUUGGGUAUUUCAGGGCUUUUUGGCUUUGGUAGCUCCUCAUGUGUGGGGAUUUCUGGGCAAUUUGGCUUGAGUAGCUCCUCAUGUUUGGGUACUUCAGGAUAUUUUGGCUUGGGUAUCUCCUUAUGUUUGGGCAUUUCAGGCCAUAUUUUUUUGGGAAGCUCCUCAUGUUUGGAGAUUUCGGGGCCUAUUGGCUUGGGUAGCUCCCCAUGUUUGGAGAUUUCAGGGCAUUUUGGCUUGGGUAGCUCUUCAUGUCUGGGUAUUUCAGGGCUUUUUGGUUUGGGUACCUCAUGUUUGAGGAUUUCUGGGCAUUUUGGCUUGGGUAGCUCCUCAUGUUUGGAUAUUUCAGGGUAUUUUGGCUUGGG